GUGAAUCAUCAAAUUUUUGAACGCAUAUUGCACUCUCUGGUAUUCCGGAGAGUAUGCCUGUUUGAGGGUCAGUUAAAUAAAAAUCGGGGUUUGUGCCUCCUUUGGGUGUUACGCUUCGGAAUUUGGUCGUCUUUACCUUUCGGUUAGGGGACUUAAAAUUUUUAAGUGAUAUCUGAACGUAUUUAAAUUUAUUUGGUACGGCUUGUAAUAUCGAAUGUUUAUUAGAAGUAGUCUUCCGCAUGACUCACGUCUAUAAUUUU
rnacentral:misc_RNA from 1 species